UACGUAGGCAGCAAGCGUUGUUCGGAAUUACUGGGCGUAAAGAGUGUGUAGGCGGUGCUCUAAGUUCGGUGUGAAAUCUCCCGGCUUAACUGGGAGGGUGCGCCGGAAACUGGAGUGCUCGAGCGUGGGAGAGGAAAGCGGAAUUCCUGGUGUAGCGGUGGAAUGCGUAGAUAUCAGGAGGAACACCUGCGGUGUAGACGGCUUUCUGGACCAUUGCUGACGCUGAGACACGAAAGCGUGGGUAGCAAACAGG
rnacentral:rRNA from 1 species